UUUAAAAUAGUUUCAACACCUUGACUUUCAUCUAAUAAUAAGGAGACACUUCUCAAAAAAAUUUGGCUCUCAAUCUCCUAGAAUCUCACUUUUUGGUUUCACUCUCACCAAAACCCUAAAUUUCUCCUAAAAUCAUUUCUCCUAAAAUUAGAGCACCUUCCACAAGCUUUAUGUUCACUUACCAAAACCCUAACUCCAUCUUAAGAAACUUCAUCCCAAAAUUAAGUAGUAGGAGAAGGAGAGAGGAGAGUGGAUGGAAGAGAUCUGCAACCAAGAUGUGAUGAUGGGUUAAAGGGUGGAGAAAUAGGCUGGUUGUGGUGUUCUUGCAACCUCGCGCUGCCAAGAUGGCCAUAUUAUGCGGCGCAAACGCAUAAACGAUGAUAGAUACACAACAGUGUGUUAAACGAAAGUUGCGGUAUUGUAGAGACUUUGAUGAAUCAAUAUGCAUUAUUUGGUAAAGAUGUUGUUGAGGAAGUUGAGUUAAAGGGGUUAAAAGAUGAAGAUCUAUGUGCUUGAUGUUGAGUUCAAUGAGGAGUUUUUCUCAAUAGAGAUGUUAGUUUUUUUUAAUUUUAUUUUUUCUCAAAGGCUUCAUAGAUGAUAGAGUUUGGAUGCAAUUGUUUAUGUUAGGUUUAUUUUUAGUUACUUCUACUGUAUUGUUUUAUUAAUCUUCUUACGUGUGCAUCAAAAUGUGUAUUUUUGUAAAGAACUUUUAAACGUUAUUUGAAAAAAAAAUUAUUAACAUAGGUGUGAUUCUCGUGUUUACAAAAUUGAAAAAUUAAAGUUAUCAUAUUUCCAUGGGAUCAAGGUUGUUAAAUUUGCUUUUCUGAAUGACAUCUUGAAAUACUAUUAUACUAUUGGUUUAACAAAGUCUUGGUGUGGCAUAUGGAAACUUGAGUAUUUCUCCAUCGUAUGUUUUCACAAGAAAUUUUGCGGAAGAUAUUGAAGAUAAUGAGACCAAUGAAGAGAUUUAUGGCACUCUUUCUUUUGUUUUCUAAACUCAUUAAAUGGUUCUACUCUUAAAAUAUUUGUUUGUUGUUCUUUGGACUGAUGAUAAUGGAGAGGGUAAGUAAGAUUUUGAAUAAAUGAGGGAAAUCAAUCUCUUAAAUGUUCUCUUCCUCUUAUUGAUGUUUCUCAUGUAUAGAUGUAUGGUUAUAUUCUACAAGUGGUAAAAUGUAUCAUAAAGAUAGGUUCAAUGCAUUGUAAUUACUUCUAUAAUCAUAUCUAAGGAGCAUUUAACCUCUA